rnacentral:rRNA from 1 species
AACGAACGCUGGCGGCGCGCCUAAUACAUGCAAGUCGAGCGAGAAGGUGUAGCAAUACACUUGUAAAGCGGCGAACGGGUGAGGGAUGCAUGGGUAACCUACCCUCGAGUGGGGAAUAACUAGCCGAAAGGUUAGCUAAUACCGCAUACGUUUCCGGAACUUCGGUUUCGGAAAGAAAGCAAUACCGUGGGUAUUGCGCUCCUGGAUGGGCUCAUGUCCUAUCAGCUUGUUGGUGAGGUAACGGCUCACCAAGGCUUCGACGGGUAGCUGGUCUGAGAGGACGAUCAGCCACACUGGCACUGCGACACGGGCCAGACUCCUACGGGAGCAGCAGUAAGGAAUAUUGCGCAAUGGACGAAAGUCUGACGCAGCGACGCCGCGUGGGGGAUGAAGGUCUUCGGAUUGUAAACCCCCUUUCGGGAGGGAAGAUGGGAGUGGGUAACCACUUGGACGGUACCUCCAGAAGCAGCCACGGCUAACUUCGUGCCAGCAGCCGCGGU